rnacentral:rRNA from 1 species
AUUGAACGCUGGCGGCGUGCCUAACACAUGCAAGUCGAACGAGCGGCGCACGGGUGAGUAAUGUAUGGGGACUGCCCGCUAGAUGGGGAAAACCAGUGAGAACGGUAGCUAAUAACGCCUACUAUCGGAUAACCCAUAUUGGAUUAGCUAGUAGGUGCGGUAAUGGCUCACCUAGGCGACGAUCCCUAGCUGGUCUGAGAGGAUGAUCAGCAACACGGGUACGGAGACACGGACCAGAUUCGAAGGGAGGCACGAGUGGGGAAUAUUCGACAGUGGGCGGAAGGCUGAUGUAGCCAAUGCGCGUGUAUGAGAAAGGCCCUAGCGGUGUAAAGGACGUUCAUUCGGGAGGCGUUACCUACAGAAGAAGCACCGGCUAACUCCGUGCCAGCAGCCGCGGUAAUUC